rnacentral:rRNA from 1 species
AUAAAGAAUGAUUUCCUAAGUAGCGGCGAGCGAACGGGAAAGAGGCCAAACCGAAGGGCUUGCUCUUCGGGGUUGUGGAUCAGCAAAAAGGACGGAAGACCUUAGCAGAAGAGGAUUGGAAAGUCCCGCCAGAGAGGGUAAAAGCCCCUUACGCGAAAAGGUCAAACGACGAGCUGACACCAGAGUACCGCAGGACACGAGAAAUCCGGUGGGAAGCCGGGAGGACCACCUCCCAAGCCUAAAUACGAAUUGGUGACCGAUAGCGCAUAGUACCGUGAGGGAAAGGUGAAAAGAACCCCGGGAGGGGAGUGAAAAAGAACCUGAAACCCUGUGUUUACAAGCAGUGAAAGUGCAAGUUAGGCACGAUCACGUACUUUUUGUAGAACGGACCGGCGAGUUACGUUAUGCAGCAAGGUUAAGAACUGAAGGUUCGGAGCCGAAGCGAAAGCGAGUCUGAAUAGGGCGAUAGUUGCAUGACGUAGACCCGAAACCGGGUGACCUAUCCAUGAGCAGGUUGAAGUGGAGGUAAAGCUCCAUGGAGGACCGAACC